rnacentral:misc_RNA from 1 species
UUUCAAAGUUACCUGAAAUCAUCUCUCCUUUUUCUCCCAGAUCAGAUGCGAGACCCCUCAUUGAUCGCCUUCUCUGCAAAAUGCGUCCUCUGUCCUCUUCUUCGCCGCCGGUUUUACCCAACGAUGCUUCUGAAAGCGGUGAAUCCGCCGAGCGCCGUCUUCAUGAGGCGGAGGAGCGCUUAAGAGAGGCAAUUGAAGAGCUUCAACGCCGGCAACGUCGUGCCAGAGGUAUCUAUCCGCCCUGUGACCAUGCCGAUGAAUCAUGUGUUGCUAACGCAAUUGGUAACGUUUGCCAAAGUUUUCUUCUCUCUUAUGGUGUUCGCGUUGGCAUCGGUAUCCUCCUCCGUGCUUUUAAGCUAGCUCGUCGCCAGUCCUAUUCUUCUCUACUCGAUCUCAAGCAACUUGUGUCCGA